rnacentral:rRNA from 1 species
UACGUAGGGGGCGAGCGUUGUCCGGAAUUAUUGGGCGUAAAGAGCGUGUAGGCGGUUCGGUAAGUCUGCCGUGAAAACCUGGGGCUCAACCCCGGGCGUGCGGUGGAUACUGCCGGGCUAGAGGGUGGUAGAGGCGAGUGGAAUUCCCGGUGUAGCGGUGAAAUGCGCAGAUAUCGGGAGGAACACCAGUAGCGAAAGCGACUUCCUGGACCAGUACCGACGUUCAGGCACGAAAGCGUGGGGAGCAAACAGG